rnacentral:rRNA from 1 species
CCUACGGGUGGCAGCAGUGGGGAAUAUUGGACAAUGGGCGAAAGCCUGAUCCAGCCAUGCCGCGUGUGUGAAGAAGGCCUUCGGGUUGUAAAGCACUUUCAGUGGGGAAGAAAGCCUUGGGGCUAAUACCCUCGAGGAAGGACAUCACCCACAGAAGAAGCACCGGCUAACUCCGUGCCAGCAGCCGCGGUAAUACGGAGGGUGCGAGCGUUAAUCGGAAUUACUGGGCGUAAAGCGCGCGUAGGCGGUCUGAUAAGCCGGUUGUGAAAGCCCCGGGCUCAACCUGGGAACGGCAUCCGGAACUGUCAGGCUAGAGUGCAGGAGAGGAAGGUAGAAUUCCCGGUGUAGCGGUGAAAUGCGUAGAGAUCGGGAGGAAUCCCAGUGGCGAAGGCGGCCUUCUGGACUGACACUGACGCUGAGGUGCGAAAGCGUGGGUAGCAAACAGGAUUAGAUACCCCAGUAGUC